ACGGAUCCUCCCUUCGGGUCGGGUCGACGCGCGGGUAAGGAAUGGACUAAGGGAGUGAAACGACAUCGUUUUGGGCAUCAGAAGCCAAGCCCAAAACAACGUUGUUUUGGGGUGUCUAUAUAAGUAAAAAAAACAAUAAAAAAACAUUUGUAGCCUCCUUUUUAAAAAAAAAACUCUCUUUUCUCUUAACUCUCUCUCAGCCCUCCCCCUUCGGCCAAUGUCCGGUCAUCGGACCACCGCGACGGUCGCCGCCCGCAGUGGCCGAAAAAUAAAAAGUCACAAUUUUUUUGUUUUUCAAUCCCCG
rnacentral:lncRNA from 1 species